rnacentral:hammerhead_ribozyme from 1 species
GAACUUCUGAGGAGUCCCACAAUGGGACGAAACGAUCGUCCAAUGC